GGACAGCGUAGAAGAAUUUAGCAGGCUCUCAAAAACUUAAUGAUGUUAAAAACCUCCAGUAAAAGAACUGGAAUUUCAUUUACCUCAAUCAUUAAAUCGCACCCUAUAUAAACCCUGGUUAUUCUUUAACGAAGGAGGCGAGGCUCAGGAAACUCCUGGUUAUGAAAUACACUUGUAACGGACACAGAAAUUUAGGUGGAAGAAACAACCCAGACUUCUGUGAUCAAAUAUUUUCUCACAUGGCAAGAACCUAAAAUACUUACAUAAACACAAAUCCAUUCAAAGCAGGCAUUUCCUCAAAUAGACACUGCACCUCCAAACUUAGGAAGAGGGUACCCCUGCUCCCUGCAGCUUCAGGUGUCACAGAAAAUCAAUACAUAUGGUACAUGUGAAUAUACACAUAUAUAUGCCUGAGCAGACCUGUGACAGCUUAGCUAUUCUGGAAUGACUCUCUGGGACCUGGAACAGUCAGAGAAAGACAAAGAACCUGGGUCAGAAAAAAGAAGGAGCAAUAUGGGGUAAAAAACCAUAUCAGCUAAAGGAGGCAGGACUUUUGGUUCUGGGAAGAUAGGGGACUAGGCUCCCACGCAUAUCUCGCACUAAUAAUGUAUACAUAUUAGGAUUAAAUAUUACAGCUUUUAAGAAAAAUCUAUGGCUGUCUCAACGGAAAAUGGUAUGGCAGUGCCCCCUAAAAAUUAAACAGAAAACUACCAUAUGAUCCAGAAACUCCACUUCUAGGUACACAGGUGUACAGGUGCGCCCCAGAGAACCGAAACAGGAACUCGGAGAGAUACCUGUACACCCCGCAGCAGCGUUAUUCACAAUAACCCAAAGGUGUCAACAGCCCCGGCCUCCGUCUAUGGCGAAAGAGAAGCCAAACGCGGCCUCCACAGACGAUGAGUAUUAUUUAACUGCAAAAGGAAGGAAACCCUGACACACGCCACGGCGCGGAUGAGGUCAGAGGACAUCGUGCUGAGGGAAACAAGCGAGACACAGGAGCACAGAUCCUCUGAGAGUCUCCCUACGUGAGGUCCCCAGAGCCAUCAAGUUCAUGUCUCCUCAAGAGUAGAAGGGGGCUGCCAGAGGGUGGGGGUUAGCGGGAAGGAGAUACGGAGGUCCCGUUUGGGAAAUGAAAACGUUCUGGAGACGGGAAGAAGUGUGGCUGCACAGUAACAGCAACGCGGAAGCGCUAAACGCCUCUCGACUGUGCUUAAGCGGUAAAUUCUAUGUCGUGGACAGUGCACCAUAACUAAAAACAAUCUAAGACUGCGCUCAAGAACAAAAGGGAUCAGCCCACGAUGAGAAGCUGGGAGAGAGCCGCGGGCCACAGAGCCAGCUGCCUGACCCCUCACUGAAGCCGCCGUGAGGUGGGUGCGGACAGUGGUGGGGAGUUAUCUAAUUUGGUUAGCUAGGAAUUCGACCCUGGAUGGAUGGCUAACUCAGUGAGAACUGGGACCAAUCAACUCUGCCCACCAGUCCAGAGACACAUUAUGGAAUGUGUCUCAGCCAUGACUCUCGCUGGAAAAUCAGGAGACUAAAUCAAUAAAUAAUUCUCCCAUGAAAACUCAGCAUCUCAGCCCCGUGUGUUUAAGAGUUUGCUGGGCACGGCAUUCAUGGUGUGGGAACUCCUUGAGCUGAACGUUAACAUAAAGUCGCUCCUAAGCUGUGCCAGCUCUCGGGUGUCGAGAAGAAGCAAACAACGCCGGCUGCCAAGAGCCCCAAAGGAAAAUAAAAUCCCUCUUGUAACCAAAUCACAAAAUGCACAGGGAGAUGAGUCAGCGUGAAUGAAAGUCAACAGAAAAAGGAAACAUAAAAACGAGCAUCCAAAAAUGUAAUUAGAAAGUCAUCUGAAGAAAAACACGCAAUGGGAUGUGAAGAAGGAAUGGUAUGAAACAGCAGAAAUAAUAUGGUAGAAAGAGAGCUAAUGGACUGGAAGCCAAAUCCAAGUACACUGCCCAGAACACAGACUGAGACAUACAAGAAGACAGGAAAUUUAAAAGACAAGUUGGAAGACACGGAGUAUAGAUGGAAAAACUUCAACACACAGCUGACCCUUGAACAGCGCAGGUUUGAACUGAGUGAUCCACUGACUCUCGGGUCUUGGUUUUUUCAAUAAAUACACACUACAGUGCUGUACAAUUUGCCACUGCUUGAAUCCUUGGGUGCAGAAGCACGAUUGGAGGGCUGACUGCAACUUCAUGCACAGACUUUCAACAGCUGGUAGGGUUCAACCCCCACUUGCUCAAGGGUGAACUGUAUGUCUAAUAAGAAUCCCCAAAAGAGAGAAUGAGAUGAUGGGAUAGAAAAAGUAUUCAUAAUGAUAACGGUUGACAGUUGUACAGACUUGAUCAAAAAAAUAAAGUCCGAGCAUAAUAAAUACAAAUAAAUUCACACUUAGAUUCACUGCUGUGAAAUGAAGAAAUCAGAAUAUCCAGGGGAGUUCCCAUUGCGGCUCAGUAGGAAGGAACCCGACUAGUAUUCAUGAUGAAUCUGACUAGGAACCAUGAGGUUGCGGGUUCGAUCCCUGGCCUUGCUCAGUGGGUUAAGGAUCCGGCCUUGCUGUGCCCUAGCCUGGGAACUUCCAUGAUGUGGCUCAAAUCUGUCAUUGCUGCGGCUGUGGUUUAGGCCAGCAGCUACAGCUCUGAUUCAACCCCUAGCCUGGGAACUUCCAUAUGCUGCAGGUGCAGCCCUAAAAAGAAAAAAAAAAAAAUCCAGGAAGAAAAAAUAAACCAACAAUAGAAUAACAACUUAGAUGGCAACAGAAUUUCGAAUAGCAAUAUCAGAGGCUGGAAGAUAUGGAAGCUAUUAUUCCAUAAUAACCUCUAACAAUAGAAGCUGUUAUUCUAUUGCUGGUUUAUCUAUAUAUAAAUAUACAUAUUUUACAUAUAUAUUUCCAAGUAUACACGCAUAUUUUAAUAAAUUGCUUGUAUAAUAUGCUACCAAUCAAGUCUGAACAACUGUCAACAAAAUCACAUCCUAUAGACCACAUCACAAUAAAGUUAAAAAUCAACAACAAAAAUGAUUGAAUAUUCUUGGAAUUAUUUUUUUAAAUCUAUUUCUAAGUAACCCAUGAGUAAAGAAGAAAUGAUGGAAUUUUAGAACCAAAUCAUAAUACAGACAUUAAAUACCAAAUCUGGAAAACAACAAAUGUCGUCCAAAAGGCUCUCAGUGUGCCACCCCCGCAUUGGGGGGGGGGGUACAGGGGAGGUGGGGGGGGUGGGUUUGUAGCAUUUGCCCAUCCAUAGCAUAAAUAUCCCACCAGAUCUAUUUCAAGCUAUCCACAUCAAAUGUGGAAUUAGGAAGAAAUACACUCAAAGAACUCUGACAAUCCAAAAUGAGCCAGCUACAGUUGGUUUCAGUGCACACUGUAAACAAUUGAAAUUAAUCUCUCUCUUUUUUUUUUUUUUGGUCUUUUUAGGGCUGCUCUUGUGGUAUAUGGAGGUUCCUGGGCUAGGGGUCAAAUCGGAGCUGUAGGGGCCAGCCUACACCACAGCUCACGGCAAUGCAGGAUCCAUAUCCCACUGAGAGAGGCCAGGGAUCAAACCCAUGUCUUCAUGGAUACUAGUCAGAUCUGUUAACCGCUGAGCCAUGACAGGAACUCCUAAAAUAUAUCUUUAAAUGCACAUAUUACACGAAGAAGAAUGUUGGAAAUGACUGUACUUAGUAUGUAAAUCAAAGGUUAGAAAAAGAAGAGGGCAACAGAGUAAACCCAAAGGAAUGAGAAGGAAGGAAAUAAUAAAGAUAAGAGCACAAGUUAAUAGCAUUACAGACAAAGACACAGUCAAGAAGAGUAACAAAAGAAAAAAAAUGGCUCUUUUGGAAGACAAAUUAAAUAGGCAAACAUCUGGCUAACAUGAUCAAAAGAAGAGAAAUUAAAGUAAAAAUAAACAAUACUCUGAAUUGAAAGAACAGAAUAGGGAGAGGAAAAAAAAAGAUAAAUUUCAUAAACAAUGCCAAUAAACGAAGAGACAUAAAAGGUGAGCAUAGGAGUUCCCGUUGUGGUGCAGUGGUUAACGAAUCCGACUAGGAACCAUGAAGUUUCAGGUUUGGUCCCUGCCCUUGCUCAGUGGGUUGACGAUCCAGUGUUGCCAUGAGCUGUGGUGUAGGCCUGCGGCUGCAGCUCCAAUUCAACCUUCAAACCCGGGAACUUCCAUAUGCCACAGAUGUGACCCUAAAAAGAAAAAAAAAAAAAGACAAAAUAAACCGUGCGAGGCCAUCUUGCUGACAUCUGAGCACUGUCAUUCCUCCUUAAGGGGCCAAAAGCAUAAAUCAUAUUGAGAAUAAAACUAUAUCAAACUAAGGACUUCUGCGUAUCAAGGCAACGAUGAAAAGAGAGAGUGCCCGUCAUGGCUCAGUGGGAACGAACCCAACUAUGAACCAUGAGGUUUCGGGUUUGAUCCCUGGCCUCGCUCAGUGGGUUCAGGAUCCGGCAUUGCUGUCAGCUGUGGUGUAGGUCACAGACAAGGCUUGGAUCCCGAGUUGCUGUGGCUGCAGUGGCUACAGCUCUGAUUAGACCCCUAGCCUAGGAAUCUCCAUAUGUCGCAGGUGGCCUUAGAAAAGACGAAAAGACAAAAAAAGACAACAAU
rnacentral:lncRNA from 1 species